rnacentral:rRNA from 1 species
ACACAUUGUUCAUAAAGUUUCACAAAACAAGCAGUACCACAAGCCAAAAACUGAGCCAUGGUACGCAGGAGUUUUAUGGUUACAUGCCAAACAGACAUACUUAGCAUGUGUAAAUAAGGAAAACAAAUGUGGUGAGGAAGGGCAAGCCUACAUUUUUUGAAAGAGCACAGGCAGCCCUUUUGAAGGGUAGGUGACUUGUGCAGGUUAGAAAAGUGUAUAGUACCUAAAGCAGUGACUAAAUGUAGUUCACAUUUGGGAAAUUAAAUGGUUUUGUGACAAAGGGCAGCAGCAAAUGAGUCAAAACAUUAUGAAAACCAUGCAAACACAACGAAUGUCGUACCUUCUCGCAUUCCCACAAGUAUACCAACGAAAACGGUAUCUCACAUGUGUGGGUGCACCUACCUCGGCACAAAUAGAAAAGGCUAAACCACAGGUAACCCCAAGUCUUUCGGCAGAACAGGUUUUGAGGAAUUUUGCUCAUGUGGACAACCCCCAGAUUUUGGCCUAGGGUGUUGAAGCCACCAAGGAAAAGAGGAAACCCCAUGCAUUUCCGAAAAGAGGACACCCAAAGGAAUCCACAAAGGUUUAACUUGCGUGAAUCGCCCCAAAAUUUAGUACACACAACCCCCCGGCAAAGUAUGAAAUUUGGCAAAAAAAUCACAGUUUUCAUACAUUUCACUCUGCCCACCCACCGAAACACACCGCCAACAUCACAUGUCCUACCUUCCUUCGUUCCCACAGAUGUCCCAAUGAAAACGGUACCUCACAUGUGUGGGUGCACCUACCUGGGCGCAAAGAGAAAAUGCUAAACCACUGCAUCCACAGAGGUGUGACUUGCGCAAAUUGCCCCAGAAGCUGCAACGGAGUAGGAGGGCCGCUGCAGUGCACACAAAGCCCGAGGCGAAGGCCCGGGUGGAGCCGCCGCAGGUGCCGAUCUUGGUGGUAGUAGCAAAUAUUCAAACAAGAACUUUAAAGGCCGAAGUGCAGAAGUAUUCUAUGUGAACAUCAGUUAAACAUGGGUCAGUCGGUCCUAAGAGAUGGGUGAGCGCCGUUCUAAAGGGACAGGGGAUGGCCUCCGUUGCCCUCAGCCGAUCGCAAGGGAGUCAGGUUCAGAUCCCCCAACGCGGAGUGGCUGAGACAGGCGCUGUCACAGCAUCCAGUGCAGUAAUGCAAACGAUCCUGGAGAAGCCGGCGUGAGUCCCAGGGUGAGUUCUCUUUUCUUUGUGAGGGGCAGGGUACCCUGGAAUGGGUACACCCCGAGAGAGGGGCUCGAGCCUUGGGAAGCUUUGCGGUUCCAGCGGCAUCCAGUGAGCUCUUGCUGGUCCUUGAAAAUCUGGGGGAGAUGGUGUAAAUCUCGUGCCAGGCCGUACCCAUAUCCACAGCAGGUCUCCAAGGUCAACAGCCUCUGGCAUUAUGGAACAAUGUAGGUAUGGGAAGUUGGCAAGUCAGAUCUGUAACUUCGGGAUGAAGAUUGGCUGGGUCUGUCGGGCUGGGGCGCGAAACAGGGCUGUGUGUGCAAUGUGGCUGGAUGAGGUGUCUGCCCCCCGGGGGCAGCACAGACUCUGGACAUGAGCCGGGCCCUCACUGUGGAUCAUCCCAGCUGCUGCGGUCGCCUUUCUCUGUUCCCCUUCCAGGGUUCAGGGCCGGCGUUCUGCCUAGGCCGAUGCUUAGCAGCUGACUUAGAACUGGUGCGGACCAGGGAAAUCCGACUGUUUAAUUAAAACAAAGCAUAGCGAAGACCCGCAGUGGGUGUUGACGCGAUGUGAUUUCUGCCCAGUGCUCUGAAUGUCAGAGUUAAGAAAUGUAAUGUAGUGCGGGUGAACAGCAAUAGUAACUAUGAAUCUCUUCAGGUAGACAAAUGCCUCAUCAUCUAAUUAGUGACACGCAUGAAUGAAUGAAUGAAGGAGAUUCCCACUGUCCCUACCUACUAUCUAUCGAAACCACAGCCAAGGUAACAGGCUUGGCAGAAUCAGCGGGAAAGGAAGACCCCACUGAUCUUGGCUCUAUUCUAGCACUGUGAAGAGACAUACGAGGUGUAGGAUAAGUUAGAGACCCUCGGGCCGCCCGUGAAAUACCACUGCUCUUUUCAUUUUUUCACUUACCUGGUGAGGCGGGGGGCGAGCCGCGUGGGGCUCUCGUUUCUGGCUCCAAGAGCCCGGCACUAGCCGGGCGUGACCCGCUCCAGGGACAGUGGAAGGUGGGGAGUUAGACUGGAGUGGUAAACCUGUCAAACGAUAAUGCAGGUGUCCUAAGGCAAGCUCAGGAAGGACAGAAACCUCCCGUGGAGCAGAAGGGCAAAAACACGCUUGAUCACGAUUUUCAGUAUGAAUACAAACUGUGAAAGUGGGGCCUCAAGAUUGUUCUGAUUUUUUGGGUUUCAGGCAGGAGGUGUCAGAAAAGUUACCACAGGGAUAACUGGCUUGUGGCAGUUAAGCGUUCAUAGAACAUCGCUUUUUGAUCCUUCAAUGUCGGCUCGUCCUAUCAUUGUGAAGCAGAAUUCACCAAGCGUUGGAUUGUUCACCCACUAAUAGGGAACAUGAGCUGGGUUUAGACCGUCGUGAGACAGGUUAGUUUUACCCUACUGAUGAUGUGUUGUUGCAAUAAUAAUCCUGAUCAGUAUGAGAGGAACCACAGGUUCAGGCAUUUGAUGUAUGUGCUUGGCUGAGGAGCCAAUGGGGCAAAGCUACCAUCCGUGGGAUUAUGACUGAACGCCUCUAAGUCAGAAUCCCCUCUAAACCGUAAUGAUACCGCAGUGCUGUGGAGCCUCAUUUGGCCUAGGAUAGCCGGCCUCUGGGCCGGUGCAUAGAGCUGCUCACCUCGGCACUCAAGUGUGGACACAAGGGGGCCACCUCUCUCGCCCCUAGUGCACUCCAUGUUCGUGGGGAAUCUGGUGCUAAAUCAUUCGUAGAUGACCUGAUUCUGGGACAGGUUUUCAUAAGUAGCAGAGCAGCUACCUCGCUGCGAUCUAUUGAAAGUCAUCCUCUGAGCCAUCCUUCCUCCCGCU